UACGUAGGGCGCAAGCGUUAUCCGGAAUUAUUGGGCGUAAAGAGCUCGUAGGCGGCCUGUCACGUCGACUGUGAAAACCUAGGGCUCAACCCUGGGCCUGCAGUCGAUACGGGCAGACUAGAGUGUGGUAGGGGAGACUGGAAUUCCUGGUGUAGCGGUGAAAUGCGCAGAUAUCAGGAGGAACACCCGAUGGCGAAGGCAGGUC
rnacentral:rRNA from 1 species